UUUUCUUUAAUUUUUCCAAAUAAAUUGGUGCCUUGACCAUCUCUUUUAUUUUGGAGGAUAAAUAAGUGAUUUCACUUCAUUGGGGCCCAAUUGCAAGGGAGGAAUGGAGGAAGUGAACUUCGGGAGGAACCCCUUUUGAUGUAUUUUUGGUAUUAGGGUUUCAAAUGUUUUGGCUGGACUCGUGAUUGUUGUAUAGUUUGGGGAACUGAUGUAUCUUUUGGGAACUUGAUGUAAGGAUUGAAUAACUGAUGUAUUUUGAACUCGUGGUGUGAGCCUUGGAUGGUUGAUUAUGGAAGUGACUUUUCUUUA